CUGCACCCAGCUCUGAGGCAACUUUCCUAACUUCAGCAGCAGCAGUAGCAGCACAGGCUUCUGGGAACCCCUGCUGAAUCUAGGCAGCCGGCCUGGCAGCCUGGACCAGGCCCCAGUGAGCAAGAUACAGAGGAGAUUGGGAGGAGCAGGAAGGGACCCACAAAGGCAAGUGCCUAGGACCCACACAAAUCACAGUGUGGCUCUUGCUCCAACCAUGGGAGAAGCCACAGAAGAGCAUUCCAGGCAGAGGGCACGGCAAGUGCAAAGGUUCUGAGGUGGGAAUGAGCUGGACAUGUUUGAGAAACAGCAAGAAGGACCUCAAGUGAGCCCACAUUGGCAGUGACAAUCAGAAUGUCAAAAUGUCUCAGAGGAUUUCUAGGAAAUCUGUGGCACUUCACGAAGAGGCUGCCCCGGGUGAGAGACCAGCCAGAGUGAAUCGUUAAUACACUUCCCAGGAAGGGGGAUUCUUCUGAAAUGCUAAUACAAUCAACUGCAAGGCAAACUUCAAGCUUCUUUUUCAGUGAUCAGAGAGGCCCUCCCAGAGCAAGGAUGCUCUCCACUGUGCAAGCUAAAGGCCCUACUUUCUCACCCAGCCUUUUCUGGGGAGGAGAAACACAUCCUCACCACAUUGCAGCUGCCCUGCGAGGGCUGCAGGUAUUGUGUGUCCCCACCAGCCAGGGCAGUUCCCAGACAGACUCUGGCUGCCUGGACCCAGGUCUGCUCCAAGGAAGCAGCACGUUUCUGGAGGAGGCUUAGCCAAGAAACCAUUACGGAGUGAGAGAGGAGUUAUCUGGAUAAAUGCGGAACUGCCCAACUCCUAGCAUUUGUUCCUGGGACCCAGGCUGUAACAUCCUCUGGAGCCAAACUGCCUCUGUUCAAACCCUUGUCCCCGCACUCCACCUCCUAGCUGUGUGGCACUGUGUGCAUUACUUAACUUUGCAUGCCUUACUUUUUCCAUUUGUAAAAUGCAUAUAAUAAUAAAUCCUACCUCCUAGGGUUGUGUGAGGAUUUAAUGAUUUAAUAAAUAAAAAACACUUAGAACAAUUCCUGGCACAUGGAAAGCAUGUAUAAAAUGUUAAGUAUUAUUAUUCAUUCUUUCAUACAUUCCCUCAUUCAUGCAUUUAUUAGUCUUUCCACUCAUCCACUGAUUCCUGCACUCAUGCAUGCAUACAUCCAACAUUCCUAUCUGAACCCUUAUUAACGAAUGAGGUCAUGUUAAAAGUGAAUAAUAAAUAUCAAGUUUAGGUUUGAGAGACAAAGAGCUACCAAGAGUAGCCUGGGAAAGGUGUCCUAAACCUCUGCUUUGUGCAGGCACCAUGCUUAAAACCUCCAACCGCAUGCAUUUGCUCAUGUGGUUUUGUCUCCUCAGAUGCUUCUCUCCCCCUUCUUCUGCCCCUCUAAACCCAGAAAACCCUUACUUAUCCUCCAAGGCCCAGUUCAAGGGUUAUCUCCUGGGUGAAACUUUUCCAGCUUCCGGGCAUAACUAUUCCCCAUCUCCUUAAUGAGUAAA
rnacentral:lncRNA from 1 species